CGUGUGAGAUUUGAGACUGACGAUGCGCUUGACGCGUUGAGCAACCUCACCCCUCUGCUCCGAGUGAGGAGUAGCACAAGCUAUUAUGGUGAGAACUAUACUUUAGCAAUUGAAACGACACUGCCUUCUUACGCACAUUAAUGAUUUGGAUAUAAGCCAGAGAAAUUGUAGGAAGGAAUGGUUGGGACGAGCUAAAACCUCAGAGCAAGGCCAAAUGAAAGCGAUGAGCUGCUCGGAGACGAGCUUUAGGUAGGCCGCAUAGUUUGAUGUCUCAAGUAUUUCUGGUGACAGAAAUUACUGCAGAAGGGUGGGUAUAGAUCUCAACCG
rnacentral:RNase_P_RNA from 1 species